GGGUUGUGAGGUUAAGCGACUAAGCGUACACGGUGGAUGCCCUGGCAGUCAGAGGCGAUGAAGGACGUGCUAAUCUGCGAUAAGCGUCGGUGAGGUGAUAUGAACCGUUAUAACCGGCGAUUUCCGAAUGGGGAAACCCAGUGUGUUUCGACACACUAUCAUUAACUGAAUCCAUAGGUUAAUGAGGCGAACCGGGGGAACUGAAACAUCUAAGUACCCCGAGGAAAAGAAAUCAACCGAGAUUCCCCCAGUAGCGGCGAGCGAACGGGGAGGAGCCCAGAGCCUGAAUCAGUGUGUGUGUUAGUGGAAGCG
rnacentral:rRNA from 1 species